AUUGAACGCUGGCGGCAGGCCUAACACAUGCAAGUCGAGCGAGCGGCGGACGGGUGAGUAAUGUCUGGGAAACUGCCUGAUGGUGGGGGAUAACCACUGGAAACGGUAGCUAAUACCGCAUACCAUCAGAUGUGCCCAGAUGGGAUUAGCUAGCAGGUGGGGUAAUGUCUCACCUAGGCCACGAUCCCUCGCGGGUCUGAGAGGAUGACCAGCCACACUGGCACUGAGACACGGUCCAGACUCCUACGGGAGGCAGCGGGGGGGAAUAUGGCACAAUGGGCGAAAGCCGGAUGCAGCAAUGCCGCGUGUGUGAAGAAGGCCUUCGGGUUGUAAAGCCCUUUCAGCGAGGAGGCGUUACUCGCAGAAGAAGCACCGGCUAACUCCGUGCCAGCAGCCGCGGUAAUAC
rnacentral:rRNA from 1 species